UACGGAGGGUGCGAGCGUUGUCCGGAAUCAUUGGGCGUAAAGCGGGUGUAGGUGGCUUUGUAAGUCAGGAGUGAAAUCCCCGAGCUUAACUUGGGAAGUGCUUUUGAAACUGCAGAGCUUGAAUGUGGGAGAGGAUCGUGGAAUUCCAGGUGUAGUGGUGAAAUACGUAGAUAUCUGGAGGAACACCGGUGGCGAAGGCGGCGAUCUGGCCCAACAUUGACGCUGAGACCCGAAAGCGUGGGGAUCAAACAGG
rnacentral:rRNA from 1 species